rnacentral:lncRNA from 1 species
AUUUUAAAAAUAUCAAGGGGCUGUUUGGGGGUUAUUCUAUAUUUAUACUAAUCACCCAAAUACUCAUGUCUAUAGAGCUUUUAACAAUUGGAAUUUCUUACAAUGAAUUAUAAUAUCUUUGAUUAGCAUACAAAGAUAAAUUUAUAUUUGCUAAAUUAUUCUCAUUAAGGCAAAUGUUGAAAUAAUUAUCAGGGUUUCGAACAAUGAAUUACAAGCUCCUUAGCAGAGCAAAAUAUAUGUGAAUUUACUGGACAAGUCUUAUGAAGACAAGUACUGAAACUAACAAGCUAUUAAAGCUAAAGUUAAGUUGGUCAGAAAAUUCAUGUAACCAAAUCAUUUGAAACCUGAGUUUUGUGGUUAAAAAGCAGGCUUUCUGUUAAUUUAAUUUAACUUAAUUUCUGUUGAGUCUUCUGUUUUAUAAAAUAUGAAAUAGCAGCCCCUUAGUAAAAAUAAAGUAUAGAAAUCAUAAGAAAGAUCUACUAUAAAAAAGGCUAUUAAGUAGAUUAUUGAUAAAUCAGAACUAUUACUUGAUUAGUUUGUUCUCUUCUUUGUGAAUUACAGCAGGAAAUAGUAUUUUAAAAGCAUAUUAGUAUACUUCUAUCCAUUCUUCAAAAUCUGGGUUAAAAAUGUUUCUUGUGAUAUCACUGCUGAAGAAAAUAUCACUUUGAAAUAUUACUUUUUUAAAGUUCAGUUUCUGAGUCCUACUUUUAAUACUUGAAGACACAAUGACAAUUUUAAAUUUUUUAUUUAUAUAUUUUCUAGUAUAUUAGGAUGAGUAAGAAUUAAUUAAAAUAUUAGAGGCUGUAGGGUCUAAAAUAGUUAUUAAGGACAAUAUGGAAAGACCAUCUUUCAGAAGGCUGAAAUUGAAAAGGAAGCAAUUCCAGCUGUGCAGUUGGAGAGUAAAUGGCCUGUGAAGUAACUGAACCAAGUUCCUCAACAUCUUAAGGUGAGGGCAUUUUCAAAUUGUGAAAAAUCCUUAUUAUGAAAUUAGAGUUUUAUUACAUGAAUCUUUUGAUCAGUUGUCAUCUUGGGAAGACUAACUUCAAUAAUUGGUCUGGAGAGAGGAUGGGGCAAAAACUUACAUGGGGAAUUCUAUAGCCUCUGUGUGAGGAAGAGGUUAGAGAUAAAAAUGGUGUUUUUACUUAAAAAAAAAAAAAAAAGAAAAAGAAAGGAGCAACAUGCAUGUUCAGUCCUGAUUGCUUUCUGGAUCUUGCUAAAGCUGCUAGAACAUUUCCUGUGUUAUCGAUUUUGUAUAUUACCUCAGUUCACCUCUGCUGACAGCAGUUGGUUUAGCUGCACUGGGAUUCAUCCAAUAUUCCCAACCGUGAUGUUAAUUCUAUGGCAAAGUAAAUAAAAGCUCUGUUCUGACGUCAUAAUCGCUGAGUUGGAACCUGGCUUUGCCACAGGCAUGCCUUCACAGAAGUCACUUAACUAAGUCUAGGUUCCUCAUCUGUGAACUGAGAAAACUAAAAGCACUGAUUCCAUGGGGUGCUUAGGAAGAAGUCACCCAUGACUAUCUGGAACAACAUUGUGGGGAAGGCCAAGUUUCUGGCUAUGUCUUUGCAUUUGGACUGAUAAUUCAUUAAGCCAGGAUAACGAUGGAAUGGCCUAUGUGGGUAGCUGUAAGGACCCUGUGAUGAUCUUUCCGAGUUUCAGAUUGCACGAUAACCUUGAAACUUACAAACCUGGCUUUGGUUGUAAAGGAUUCAUGUUCAAGGGAACUACUGAAUGGAAGUUAUCAAAAGUAUUAAAAUCAACAGAGCAUGCAGAGAACUACAGGAUAAUUACUGUGGCAUUCUGUUAAGAUCAUACUUGACUUAGAAAACUAGUGGCCUGUAGAUUCGGUCUUAUUUGCCCUCCAAGAAUACUUAUACAGCAAAAAUACCCAUUCCUCUGGAAAUUUACUCUCUUGGCAAUUGCAUAAUUAUUAUUAUUUUUUAAUCUAGAAACCACCGUACAUUCAUUUAAAACUACUUUGAGAUAGGAAUUUUACUUACCUGAGAACUGUGGUCUCUUAUCAUGACUUCAGUUUUCUAAAUUUAACUUAUGGAUGUAUAAUCUUAUUAAUUAACUGUGAACAUGGUUUCUGAGAGAAAAAGACCUGCCUAAUGUCUACCACCCUUACAGUAUAAGAGCAGCAGGAUCUUCGUCUGUGUGCGGGAAGGAACGUCACAGGAUUGGGACUAUGUAUUUGUGCACUUUAGAAAUGGGGACAGAGGCUGGGAGGAAGAUCUAAGUUCAUUGAAGGUGUGUCCCACCUUACUCCAGGGGUAGUGGAUGGACUUGAAAGCUGGACAGAAGAAUCAUCUUACUGGGUGGCAGUGGCCUCUUCAGGCUUUGGACUGUGGAGAGACACCUGCCUCUCUGUAAGAACGGUAAAAAGCCUCCCUGCCUGUGGUACUUGGCCUGUAUGUAAUAUCUCAAAGGCGGUUAGGAACAGGAAGAAAGUUCCUCUGACUUGGUGUUUCCCUGAAAUGCUGAUUAGAUAAAUAACAGUGCAUGCCGCACAAUGACAAAAGCAACUUAUAAACAUCAAGGGUUAUGUGAGGCAACCGUACAUCUGAUUUUGGUAUUGUGGUAUUUGAUAUUUCAAGAGACUAAAAUAAAAGAGAAAGUAUAAAAAUAAGCAGUUUCCCAGGGAGUUAUGGCAAAGCUCAGGACAUCAAACGAGACUGAACCAAGUGAGAAGUGCAACUACCUCCAAGGGUAAAAGAAAUAGGCCGGGCGCAGUGGCUCAUGCCUGUAAUCCCAGCACUUUGGG